GAGAAGAACGUAGUGAAAUGCGAUAAGUAAUGUGAAUUGCAGAAUUCAGUGAAUCAUCGAAUCUUUGAACGCACAUUGCGCCCGUCAGUAUUCUGGCGGGCAUGCCUGUUCGAGCGUCAUUACGCCCCUCAAGUCCCCUGUGGACUUGGUGUUGGGGAUCGGCGAGGCUGGUUUUCCAGCACAGCCGUCCCUUAAAUUAAUUGGCGGUCUCGCCGUGGCCCUCCUCUGCGCAGUAGUAAAACACUCGCAACAGGAGCCCGGCGCGGUCCACUGCCGUAAAACCCCCCAACUUUUUAUAGUUGACCUCGAAUCAGGUAGGACUACCCGCUGAACUUAAGUAUAUCAAUAAGCGGAGGA
rnacentral:misc_RNA from 1 species